AACGUAGGUUCCGAGCGUUAUCCGGAUUUACUGGGCGUAAAGCGCGUUCAGGCGGUUUGACAAGUCGGGCAUGAAAUCUCUGGGCUCAACCUGGAGAGGUUGUCCGAUACUGCCAAACUGGAGGGCAGUAGAGGGUGGUGGAAUUCCCAGUGUAGCGGUGAAAUGCGCAGAUAUUGGGAAGAACACCAGUGGCGAAGGCGGUUCUCUGGGACGGUACUGACGCUGAGACGCGAAAGCGUGGGGAGCGAACAGG
rnacentral:rRNA from 1 species